rnacentral:lncRNA from 1 species
UAAAAGAAAAUGGUAGAGAAAUUCAGUACACACAAAGCCACAUAGAAACAAAAGUUGGACUGAAAGUAAAAAGAGUCUGUAAUCAUAAUAAAUUCCAGAGUUUUGAAUACUUAUUUUCUACAAAUUAAUAUUUUUGACCCAAUUCCCGUGGUUCUUUAAUAGAAAAGUUCACUAUCCGGUGCUACGUAUUCUUGAUUAUUUUUUUGAUCCCUACUAAGAAUUUGUUAGACUUAAACGUCUACUUCUUCCAUCCCAUUAAGGUUGUCCUUUUUUGCCUUUUCAUUGUCCUGGAAGGCAUAGAGAUUUUUUUUUUUUGAUAGAUAAACACAGAAUAAUUAUAUUAAAAAGAGGGAAGCAAGAAGGCAACCCGAAGCAUACAGGAAGUAUACACGAGAAGCCCCAAAAACAAAAAGCACAAGGAAGCAUACACUCACCAACCCUCAAUUAGAACCCAACCAAUCUACAAAAUUAAUUAAGGAGUGGGGCUCUCCAUCUAAACAAGACUUAGUCCAAGAGAAAAGAUUACAAACGAAGGAGGUUUUCAAUCUUUGGAUCGACAAAGCCUCAUUAUCAAAAGCUAUCCUAUUUCUUUCUUUCCACAUCGUCCAAAAUAAACAAAGGGGGGCUACCCGCCAAAUCUUCCCACGCUUCUUGUCUACAAAGGAAUCGGACCAACCAAGGAGAGUGUCUUUAACUGUGAGCUGAAGGACCCAAUUAACCCUAAACAUCGUAAACAUAAGAUUCCACAACACCUUCGCCUUGGGGCAAUGAAUAAGGAUGUGGUUAAUUGUCUCCUCAUCAUCACAACAUAAGAAGCAUCUGUUUGCUAGAGACCAACCCCUCCUUUUGAGAUGAUCUUGGGUUAAGACCUUCCCCCAAGAAGCUUCCCAAGCAAAAAAACCCACCUUAGUAGGCACGCAAGGGCUCCAUAUGAUUCUCCACGGAAACGGGAUUGCACCACCAGAAUCCAGAGUAUUGUAAAGGGAUUUUACAGAGAAAAUCCCAUUCUUAGAAGCAUUCCACACCACUCUAUCCUCCAUCCCAACAUUGAGCCUCUUUCCUUAAAGGACCGAAAGGAGACUCGCCACCGCCUCCUGCUCCCAAUCAUUAAAAGACCUAGAAAAACAAGGAUACCAUCCCCCCGCAUCCCCCAUAUAAUCCCAACAAUCCUCUACCCACGCAUCUUGGGAUACCGCAAAGGCAAACAGAGAAGGAAAAGCCUCACAUAGGGGAGUGUUUCCACACCAAAUGUCCUUCCAAAAUUUCACCCUUCUACCAUCCCCUACAGUCUAGAAGGCAUAGAGAUUUGUCACUCAUUUUCACAAACUAUCCCUUAUAAUGUAGUAAAUUAAAUUAAAAAACAAUGUGAAAUAAAAUAGAGACAACCUUAGAAAAGACUCAAUAUAGACAAGUUCCCUCUGCCUUGCUCUAACUAGUAUUUACUCAUAUGAGGAAAUUUAUAAUCAACCACAAACCUUUAUCACCUCAAUCAUACAUGGUUUCCAUUUCUCCUAUCUUUUUUUUGAUAGGCAAACAAGAAUAUAUAUUGAUAAAGAAAGAAAAGAGCACAACAAAGUACAUACGAUGUAUACAAUUAGUCCCAAACAUGUAGGAAAAAAGGAACAAGAAAAGGAAAAACAAAAACAACCUCCCUCUCCUUACUUCAAGCUCAACCAAUCUACAAAGCCUAUCAUUAACAUAGAAUGAUUGUCUAUAUACACUCUAGCCCAAUAAAAAAAGAUACACAUAAAGGAAGAUUUAAUUGUUCGAUCUGAAAGUUCUACACCUUCAAAAGACCUCCUCUCUCUUACUUUCCAUAACGUUUAAAAUGGACAUAAAGGAGUUGCCCUCCAAGCUUUCUUCUUCUUCUUUCUCACAAAAGAAACAUGUCAACUCAAAAAAUUGCAUUCAACAAAGGAGUACAUCACCCAUGCCAUUCCAAAUAGGGAAAAAACCAAUUGCCACAAGAUUUUUGCUAUGAAGUAGGGGAGAAGCAAGUGAUCAACCAACACUUCAUCCCCUUUACAUUUACUCGGCACAUACUCUAACCCCUUCUUUUGAGCUGAUCAAGAAUUAAAUUCCUUCCUCAAAUAGCUUCUCAAGUAAAAGAAUUCACCUUCAAUGGCACUAAAGGGUUCCAUACUAUGCUUGCAAGGAAGGCUCACUUCUUCCUUGGGCUAAGGAUGCAUAGAAAAAUCGGGCAAGCAACUUGCCAUUCUUAGUUUCUUUCAAGCUCAAUUUGUCCUCCUCAUCUUCCUUUCUAACUGAGAUUGAUUGUGGCCUUCAAAAAAAGACCUCCUUCCAACGCUUAAUUGAGGAACUAUCUAUGAAAGCAGGGACUCCAUUGACCCAUUUCCCCAACUUGUUCCCACAUUUCAAGCUAUACAAGAGUCUUUAUCAACGGUAUAGAAAAUAACACCAAAAAAGACUCUUCCAAAGAAUUUUUGCUGCACCAUCCAUCUUUCCAUAAUUUUAUCCUUCUGCCAAUACACAAAAUGAGGCAAGUUCUACUUCCAAAGGCUUCCCACUAGUUUCUUAUAGCCUUCCACAACCUCACCCCAUAGCCAUUCCUCAUUGCCCUUGAGCACCAUCCCCUUUCUUUUGUCCCAUACUUCAUAGCAAUGACCUAUUUCCAAAGGAACUCCCUUGGAAGCAAAUCUCUAGCUCCGUUUACCAAGGAUAACCCUAUUAAGAGUGUGGAGAAUUUUAUGCCAAUCUCCCCAUCUAUUUUUGCCCAAACAAACAAUAGACCAAUUAACCAAAUGGGGUUUUCUCUCAAGAGCUCCUUCUCUCCCUAGGAAAUCCUUUGGAUCUACUCCAAUCUUAAGCUCACCCUCCUCAGAAUGGCGAAAAAGAGAUAUGAAAUAAAUUGACUAACUUGAUAACGUGUUCUUUAUCAAGGUAAGUCUCUAUCCUCUCAAUAAUAUUGUCGCUUCCACAAGGCUAGAUUUUUCUUAAAUCUUUCCUUCAUCGAGUUUCAUACCCUCAUUGACUUGCGAGGAGAACCCAACAACAAAUCCAAGUAUGUAGUAGGUACACUCCCAACGCAUAGGCUAAACCCUCCACAUUUACGACAUCACCUAUCAAAAUUAGCUUACUUUCUCCAUAUUAUCCUUAAACUAGAUAUUGUCUCAAACCACAUGAAAGCUCAACUUAGAUACUCCAAUUGCUCUUGGUUAGUAACAUCACAGAAAAUUAAGGCAUAAUUAGUGAACAACGAAUCAAACACUUCCAUUCCUUCCCCACCUCUUCCUCCCACUUUGAAUCACAAGAUGAAACUCCCUUUCAUUGGCCCUCCUUAGAACUUGGUUGAGAACCUCCAUUGCCAACAUGAAGUGAGUAGGAGAUAUCCAUCACACCCAAUUUUGACCAAAAUCUUUUUUUUUUUCCAAAACUACUAGCAAGAAGUCUCAAUUUACAUGAUUAUAUGUCUUUUCAAUGUCCAGCUUUCAAAUGAUCCUACCAUUGGUGCUCUUUAGCCUUGAAAUCUAAGGCCCCAUCUGCAUCCAAAAUUUGUUUACUCUCCACAAAAGCUUGUUGGUAAAUUGAAACCACCAAGCCCACCACCUUUUUGAGCUGAUUAGCCAAAACUUUAGCCAAUAGCUUAUACAACCCCCCAACUAAAUUAAUGAAUCUGAAAUCUUUUAUAUCCUCAACUCCACCUUUCUUAGGAAUCAAAACUCACUCAAAGGAGUUGUUACCAAAGAACUCCUUGAAGAAACUCAUCACCUCGGUUUUUACAAAGUCCCAACUCUUGUGCCAAAACACCAUCUAGAGCUUUAUUCACACAACUAGACAAGGUAGCAAAAACUUCCUCCUCAAUGAAAGGAACCUCUAACAUCCUUUCCCCUUCUCUUGUAAGUUUUCAAAGAAUGUUUUCAAUAUUGUUAUACAUCAUCUCUUGAUUUGUAAGAACUAGACACCACCUGAAAAAAGGAAUGAUAUUUCCAUAAAGUUCAUGAUUUUUCCACUCAAAUUCUUUGGAUGCAAUCCAAGUGCAAUAAAAAAGAGGGUGAUUUCCCCACAUAACCAAAU